rnacentral:rRNA from 1 species
GGACAACCCCGGGAAACUGGGGCUAAUCCCCGAUAGGCGAAGACUCCUGGAACGGGUCUUCACCCAAAAGGUGCUAGAAUCAUGCUUUCUAGCCUCGCCCGAGGACGGGGCCGCGUCCGAUCAGGUAGUUGGUGAGGCAACGGCUCACCAAGCCUAUAACCGGUACGGGCCGUGGGAGCGGGAGCCCGGAGAUGGGCACUGAGACAAGGGCCCAGGCCCUACGGGGCGCAGCAGUCGCGCAAACUUUGCAAUACACGAAAGUGUGACAGGGCUAUCCCGAGUGCCGUCCGCUGAGGAUGGCUUUUACCCAGUCUAGAAAGCUGGGAGAAUAAGGAGAGGGCAAGUCUGGUGUCAGCCGCCGCGGUAAUACCAGCUCUCCGAGUGGUGUGGAUGUUUAUUGGGCCUAAAGCAUCCGUAGCUGGCCAAGCCAGUCCCCUGUUAAACCCAACGAAUUAAUCGUUGGAUUGCGGGGGAUACUGCUCGGCUAGGGGACGAGAGAGGCCGACGGUACUUUUGGGGUAGGGGUGAAAUCCUAUAAUCCUAAGAGGACCACCAGUGGCGAAGGCGGCCGGCCAGAACGCGCUCGACGGUGAGGGACGAAAGCUGGGGGAGCAAACCGGAUUAGAUACCCGGGUAGUCCCAGCUGUAAACGAUGCGGGCUAAGUGUCGGGAUGGUCAUAGAACCAUUCCGGUGCUGCAGGGAAGCCGUUAAGCCCGCCGCCUGGGGAGUACGGCCGCAAGGUUGAAACUUAAAGGAAUUGGCGGGGGAGCACCACAAGGGGUGAAGCUUGCGGUUCAAUUGGAGUCAACGCCGGG